rnacentral:sRNA from 1 species
UUAUAUAAAAACUAUCGGUUGAUCCGGUAAACUUCGAUAGAGACGCACCGAAGUGCUUCACAGUAAACAUCUUCCUGAAAGCCCACCACACUGUAUGUCCCAAGUUUAGAGUGUUUUUCAAGUUAUUUCAAGGAGUAGUUAGACCGCCUGCAUUCUAACUACCAUAUAAACUAAUUAAAUCAAAUCACAAAUGACAGACUUCUGAAACAAAUGUGUUUUUGUUUCCAAAGAUAAUCGAAUUUGGUUUAGGAAUUUCACCAUUUACUAAAACUUCCCCUACUACUAGACUACAAAUGCUUGAGUGUUAAUU